CAGCCCCGCGGGAAUACGGAGGGUGCAAGCGUUAUCCGGAUUUAUUGGGUUUAAGGGUCCGUAGGCGGAUCUGUAAGUCAGUGGUGAAAUCUCACAGCUUAACUGUGAAACUGCCAUUGAUACUGCAGGUCUUGAGUAAAUUUGAAGUGGCUGGAAUAAGUAGUGUAGCGGUGAAAUGCAUAGAUAUUACUUAGAACACCAAUUGCGAAGGCAGGUCACUAAGAUUUAACUGACGCUGAUGGACGAAAGCGUGGGGAGCGAACAGGAUUAGAUACCCCAGUAGUCCCUGUCUCUUAUACAC
rnacentral:rRNA from 1 species